UUGCAAAAGAUAUUUAGCUAUUCCAUUCCACCAUUCCCCUUCCAUUCUAUUUAUUGUUUUGAUUUUUUGUUUUAUAUAUAUUUGUAAUGGAAUCCUCUAUUUAUUGCAGCCAAGUAGUUGGAUCGUAAGGAGCUUGUACUCAGGGAAGCUUAUUCCUUUCAACGAAAAGAAGCAUACCACUUUUCAUGCUGUGACGGCUUCAGAUUGUAUGAUUUCUGAUAAUUGGAGUCAAGAAAUUUGAACCAUGCUUGAUCAUUUCUCCUUAUGGAGUUGGGUUUGCUAGCAUUUCUCCUUACGGAGUUGGGUUUGCGAAAGAAGGAAAUCAAGUCAAAGGACUCGAAGGACACAUUUUCUGGUCGGGUAGGGUUCCAUGGAAUGGCAAGAAUAGGGAAUUAAUUGUACAUUUGUUUUCAUCCCUUGGGUGACCAUGUUUCUCUUCCUUUGUGGGAAUCUGCCUACCUCAGCUUGAAAUUUGAAGUAUUAAGUUGAAACGAUGAACGUGGUCUUUGGUCGUAAGGAUGCUGGUUUUAAAAGUUGCCUUUUUCCGACCUGUACAAUCCAACCUGAGAUCAGAUUGCUAACAUUAUUGCUUGGAAAGUAACUGUUUCAUCACUAGAAUAAAUGGCCUGGUCUAAUGUUGCGUUUCCUCUUACCUCACUUGGUUUCUCUGAGGCAUGAUCUCAACUUAGUGCAGAGAACAUGUAUAUUGGAGCUUGAUGACUGCAGUGUCCAUUUCUUUUUUUGGUAUUCUACUUGUCCGUUUUACAUUCCAUGUUUGAGGUUUGGGGUUCUCUCUCCCACAAUGUCAUCUCCAAAGUUCAAACUCGCAUCUCCCUUUAAGUAUGUAAUGUGUCUUACUAUUGCACUCAACACUAAUUGGUUUACAGUGUCCAUCUUUAACACAUUUAAAUAUAAGGAUUACUAGCCCCGUAUAUGAUGCCGAGUUAAGACAACAGAGUAUAGCUUCAGCGGAGAUGGCCUCACUUAUUCAAACCUAAUUGGAGUUUGGAAAUAUAGAUGGUUCGGAUAUGGCAAAAACUCUGUGGCCCCAUCGUUUGUCUGUUUUCUAGUCAAAUUGCUCUCUGCUGGUUACGCUGCUUCUCUGAGGCAUGAUCUUAAGGUAGUGAGAAUAACAUGAAAGUUGGAGCUCAUUGACUGCGGCCUCCAUGUUCUUAACAAAUUACCAGCACAAUCUACGAGGUCGAGUUAGGCUAGCGGACUAGAUGGCCUCAAGUAUUCAAACCUAGUUGGAGUUCAGAAAAUAGAUGGUUUCGAUAUGGCAAACACAGUCUCCUUUGAUAACCCAUUAACUUCAAACAAGCUUCUGGAGUAGUUCUUCGCUUCUUCCAUGGUUUCAUUCGGCUGUUUCUAUCAAAUUGCAGUCUGCUGGUUAUCCUGUAAGUUAGUUACACAUACUUUAUUUUAAACAGAUGUUAUAGUAUGACUAAAUUAUAUUUAAGAAAAUGAUUCAUUUUAUAAUUGUAGGAGAUGGACGACUUCUUAUGUAUUCAUUUUAUCUUUAAAAAAAUUGUAAUUUUGAGGUUUACCAAUACCAAUUACUAGACAUCAGUGAAUCAAAGAGAAUUCAGUCUCAGAUGUGAAGUUUGAUUUGCAGCUUCUCAUGUUUGAUAAUGUUUUAUUCUUUAUUUAUUUUUAUAGAAUGCUCUGCUCCACAACCGAAGAGAUGCAAGCUUAACUGCAGCUUUUUUCCGGCAAUUACGAGAGCACAAAUAACUUC